CCCCUACUUGCGACCCUGCGGGCGACCGUGGGGGCACACUAGGGGGACUGCCGCCGCUAAGGCGGAGGAAGGAGGGGGCCACGGCAGGUCAGCAUGCCCCUAAACCCCCGGGCUGCACGCGGGCUACAAUGGCGGGGACAGCGGGAUCCGACCCCGAAAGGGGGAGGCAAUCCCUGAAACCCCGCCGUAGUCGGGAUUGGGGGCUGAAACUCGCCCCCAUGAACCUGGAAUCCCUAGUAACCGCGCGUCAACAUCGCGCGGUGAAUACGUCCCUGCCCCUUGUACACACCGCCCGU
rnacentral:rRNA from 1 species